rnacentral:rRNA from 1 species
UACGUAGGGGGCAAGCGUUGUCCGGAUUUAUUGGGCGUAAAGAGCGUGUAGGCGGCUUUGCAGGUCCGUUGUGAAAACUCGAGGCUCAACCUCGAGACGCCGGUGGAAACCGUAAAGCUAGAGUCCGGAAGAGGAGAGUGGAAUUCCUGGUGUAGCGGUGAAAUGCGCAGAUAUCAGGAAGAACACCCGUGGCGAAGGCGGCUCUCUGGGACGGUACUGACGCUGAGACGCGAAAGCGUGGGGAGCGAACAGG